rnacentral:rRNA from 1 species
UACGUAGGUCCCGAGCGUUGUCCGGAUUUAUUGGGCGUAAAGGGAGCGUAGACGGCAGAGCAAGUCUGAAGUGAAAGCCCGCGGCCCAACUGCGGGACUGCUUUGGAAACUGCCCGGCUAGAGUGCUGGAGAGGUAAGCGGAAUUCCUAGUGUAGCGGUGAAAUGCGUAGAUAUUAGGAGGAACACCAGUGGCGAAGGCGGCUUACUGGACAGUAACUGACGUUGAGGCUCGAAAGCGUGGGGAGCAAACAGG